CCUACGGGUGGCAGCAGUGAGGAAUAUUGGUCAAUGGGCGUAAGCCUGAACCAGCCAAGUCGCGUGAGGGAUGAAGGUUCUAUGGAUCGUAAACCUCUUUUAUAAGGGAAUAAAGUGCGGGACGUGUCCCGUUUUGUAUGUACCUUAUGAAUAAGGAUCGGCUAACGCCGUGCCAUCAGCCGCGGUAAUACGGAGGAUCCGAGCGUUAUCCGGAUUUAUUGGGUUUAAAGGGUGCGUAGGCGGACUUUUAAGUCAGCGGGGAAAGUCAUGGGCUCAACCAUAGAAUUGCCGUUGAAACUGGGAGGCUUGAGUAUGUUUGAGGCAGGCGGAAUGCGUGGUGUAGCGGUGAAAUGCUUAGAUAUCACGCAGAACACCGAUUGCGAAGGCAGCCUGCCAAGCCAUGACUGACGCUGAUGCACGAAAGCGUGGGGAUCAAACAGGAUUAGAUACCCUUGUAGUC
rnacentral:rRNA from 1 species